ensembl:lncRNA
AUCUCUUCCUGGAGGUUGCUCCUUGUGGAGUUUUUAUGAGCCUCCAACACCGUAGCUGUAUCAGCUCUAGACAAAUGCAGGAGGCACUUGCAGAGAUCACAGUCAUCUGAUCUAUGGCAGUUGGGCAUAUCUCAUCUUUUAAAAAUCAGGUAGCAGUGGUCCAGAAUGACAGCAUCCAGUAGCAGUGUCUCUCAGCUGACAUCUGGCAAGGCUUGCGGCUUCCCAGUCCAGACUGUUAGAACUUGAGCUCCCCCUCAAAGAUGCUUUGACAUGGUUGCAGUGAUUGAAACUUUUUUAGACUUUGUUUGGAGCUGCACUGCAAUUUUGAACUGAAUUCCCUGGUUGUCCCCACUUACACUGCUUAUUGUUUUGAUUCACUAUGUGAUUUUGAUGCAUACAAACUACAUCCUUUGAAGAGGACUGUAUAAUAAACUUCCUUUCAAGUAUGGUUUGACCUCUCAUAGGGACACAGUGGACCCUUGAGCAGCUCUGUACCACUUGUGCACUAGGAACAUACCAUUCAGGAGGUCAGGUGAAAUGUAGUUUCAAGCAAAAUCCCCAGCUACAUCUAGUGUAGAUGGCUCUAAUGCUUUCAUUACCAUGUGUUGCAGUGCUAUGCUGUUCCUGUUGCAUUGCUCUCCUUGCUAUGUCAGCAGAGCUAAUGAGAACUGCAUGGAGGGCUGGGAGGUUUUGCUGGGAUGGUCUACAAGCUGGGGCUUUUGUGGGAGGGCCUGUGAAGCAAUGUGAACUUCAUGUAGGUAAGCCCUCAAAACUGCCUUCAGCUUUCUCCUACGUAACACUCCAACUUGAGACCUGCAGAGAAGAAAACAGGUGCUGCAUUGACAAUUUUUCUGUUAAUUUCUGUGUUAAUACUGCAUUCACUGCUAUGUGCUUUGGAUGCUAAUUGCGUGAAUGUUGGACCCACUUGAACUAGCACAUUAAAGCCAGGAGG